ensembl:snRNA
UUUUUUUAUGAAAGGAGAGAAGGUUAGCACUUCCCUUGUCAAGGAUGGAAGAGGCCCUUGAGCCUGACAACACACAUACAGUUAAGGCAUUGCCACCUACUUCAUUUUUUU